GACCUCAGCAUCAGGCUGGGCAGGAGCUCGUGUCUGUGAGCGUCUGUGCUCUACCUCUAUCUAUUUUGUGUAUCCGUUAGCAAGAUGUGCCCUAAGGUACCAGAAAAGCCUAGAAGAGGUUAUUUUUUGGGUCUGGGCAUGCUCAAAAUUUUUUCCAUAUCACGAUUUUCGAUCAGUUUGGAGUUUAUUCUUGUGCAUGGAAUAAGAUCUCUUCUCCACCCUGUUUGUCCGCAUCUGUGUCCUGGGAGAUGCCCUGUGGGCUGUGUCACUUGGAAUCCUUGCUGGCUGCCUUGCCCUUUGAUUUGGCCAACGCAAAGAACUGGCGGGAGAUUGGAGGGCUGAACGAGAGAAAAGUUGGGAUGUGUCCCCUUCUGGGGAUUUCUGUCUGGCCGAAGCUAAGGGCUUCCAUCUCCACAGCUCUCAGAGGAGAGCGUUCCCUCCAUGGUUCGGUACUCACUGGGCUUACUGGGUAACACUAGUUCCCUGUCCGGUCUCUUUAGCUCUCAGAGGCAGCAACAGCUUCCCGCUGUUUCGUCUCUGGGUGCCUUGAUGGCUUUUUAUCUAGUGUUUACCCUUUCCAUCCUGCCUGCAGCUCCGUGCCUAGUGCCUUCAUGACAGUCUUUUCAUUAGAACCAUCUGAGGUGAACUCUGUUUCCUGCUGGGAUCCUAAUAGAUACAGAUACGAACCAGCAAUACACAGAAAAAGAAAUGCAAAUCAUCAAAAAAGAUAUGACAAUAUCCUUAACCUCACUUGUACUCAGGGAAAUUCAAAUUUAGGUAAAAACGGGGGCACCUGGGUGGCACAG